rnacentral:lncRNA from 1 species
CUGACAUUGGUUUGCUGUUCUGACUUUGGUUGAAGAGAUGGUAUGCUAUUUCUCCCACACUGUUUCCAGCAGAAAUGUGGUUUACACUGGCAAAAGGGUUAGUUAAACCAAUUCCCAGGGCUUGCAUUAUUUUCCAUAGGAACAAUAUGCCCAAGAAGCAAAGUUUUAAGCACAGACCACAUGUUCCACCAGUUUCAUCACUAAAAUAGGUGAUACUGGAAGACUAUCAGAUUUGAAUGUCUCCAGCAGCUGCAAGCUCCUGAGUCCACCAGUUUUCCAAAUCAGUUCCUAUCUAUUUAAGGUUCUCAAAGACCAAAGAUUUAAUUCAUUCCAGCAUUGUCUUUACCCAGGCCCCCCUUACAUGCCAUCACUGGUAGUCACUACUUGGCUCUAAGUAGUCCAACUGUGGAUACUAAAAGCACUUCUGAGACUCUGACCAUGGUUUGGGAAAAUACAAGGCCAGAGUAAUGCUUCAUGGAAUCAGAGGGGAGCUGGAAUGUGUCUAGAGGUCCUCAGGAAUCAGGGGAACCCCUAAGACUGCCAGAAUGGGAGUCAUCCUAUUCAUUCUCAAGUUGCACAUCAGUGUGUAAACUCUUGAAGAUCCGUGGUAACUAAAAAUACUAAGAAAUACUGGUAAGAAAAUUUUAAAUGAACA